rnacentral:rRNA from 1 species
UACGUAGGGUGCGAGCGUUGUCCGGAAUCACUGGGCGUAAAGGGCGCGUAGGUGGCGCCGCGAGUCAACGGUGAAAGCUCGACGCUUAACGUCGAGUCGGCCGUCGAGACUGCGGGGCUCGAGCACUGUAGAGGCUCAUGGAAUUCCGGGUGUAGCGGUGGAAUGCGUAGAGAUCCGGAAGAACACCGGUGGCGAAGGCGGUGAGCUGGGCAGUUGCUGACACUGAGGCGCGACAGCGUGGGGAGCAAACAGG